rnacentral:rRNA from 1 species
GUAGGGAAUCUUGCGCAAUGGGCGAAAGCCUGACGCAGCCAUGCCGCGUGAAUGAUGAAGGUCUUAGGAUUGUAAAAUUCUUUCACCGGGGACGAUAAUGACGGUACCCGGAGAAGAAGCCCCGGCUAACUUCGUGCCAGCAGCCGCGGUAAUACGAAGGGGGCUAGCGUUGCUCGGAAUUACUGGGCGUAAAGGGAGCGUAGGCGGAUAGUUUAGUCAGAGGUGAAAGCCCAGGGCUCAACCUUGGAAUUGCCUUUGAUACUGGCUAUCUUGAGUAUGGAAGAAGUAUGUGGAACUCCGAGUGUAGAGGUGAAAUUCGUAGAUAUUCGGAAGAACACCAGUGGCGAAGGCGACAUACUGGUCCAUUACUGACGCUGAGGCUCGAAAGCGUGGGGAGCAAACAGGAUUAGAUACCCCAGUAGUCC